rnacentral:rRNA from 1 species
UUAAUGGAGAGUUUGAUCCUGGCUCAGGACGAACGCUGGCGGCGUGCCUAAUACAUGCAAGUCGAGCGGGGUU